AGGAAUGGCUGACGCACUCUGAUCAGCAUGCCGCGUGAGUGAUGAAUGCCUUAGGGUUGUAAAGCUGUUUUUCUAGGGAAGAAAAUGUGUGUGUUUAUAGGAGUGUGACCGGAUUUUUCCAAGAAACAACGCCUAAGUUUAUGCCAUCACCCGCGGUAAUAUAAUAA
rnacentral:rRNA from 1 species